GUCUUUUUAGUACAACAAGUAUAAAUGACUUCCAAUCAUUGGAUCUUAGUUAAACCCUAAGAAAAGACA
rnacentral:tRNA from 1 species